GGUUAAGCGACUAAGCGUACACGGUGGAUGCCCUGGCAGUCAGAGGCGAUGAAGGACGUGCUAAUCUGCGAUAAGCGUCGGUGAGGUGAUAUGAACCGUUAUAACCGGCGAUUUCCGAAUGGGGAAACCCAGUGUGAUUCGUCACACUAUCAUUAACUGAAUCCAUAGGUUAAUGAGGCGAACCGGGGGAACUGAAACAUCUAAGUACCCACACUAUCAUUAACUGAAUCCAUAGGUUAAUGAGGCGAACCGGGGGAACUGAAACAUCUAAGUACCCCGAGGAAAAGAAAUCAACCGAGAUUCCCCCAGUAGCGGCGAGCGAACGGGGAGGAGCCCAGAGCCUGAAUCAGUGUGUGUGUUAGUGGAAGCGUCUGGAAAGGCGCGCGAUACAGGGUGACAGCCCCGUACACAAAAAUGCACAUACUGUGAGCUCGAUGAGUAGGGCGGGACACGUGGUAUCCUGUCUGAAUAUGGGGGGACCAUCCUCCAAGGCUAAAUACUCCUGACUGACCGAUAGUGAACCAGUACCGUGAGGGAAAGGCGAAAAGAACCCCGGCGAGGGGAGUGAAAAAGAACCUGAAACCGUGUACGUACAAGCAGUGGGAGCCUCUUUAUGGGGUGACUGCGUACCUUUUGUAUAAUGGGUCAGCGACUUAUAUUCUGUAGCAAGGUUAACCGAAUAGGGGAGCCGAAGGGAAACCGAGUCUUAACUGGGCGUUAAGUUGCAGGGUAUAGACCCGAAACCCGGUGAUCUAGCCAUGGGCAGGUUGAAGGUUGGGUAACACUAACUGGAGGACCGAACCGACUAAUGUUGAAAAAUUAGCGGAUGACUUGUGGCUGGGGGUGAAAGGCCAAUCAAACCGGGAGAUAGCUGGUUCUCCCCGAAAGCUAUUUAGGUAGCGCCUCGUGAAUUCAUCUCCGGGGGUAGAGCACUGUUUCGGCAAGGGGGUCAUCCCGACUUACCAACCCGAUGCAAACUGCGAAUACCGGAGAAUGUUAUCACGGGAGACACACGGCGGGUGCUAACGUCCGUCGUGAAGAGGGAAACAACCCAGACCGCCAGCUAAGGUCCCAAAGUCAUGGUUAAGUGGGAAACGAUGUGGGAAGGCCCAGACAGCCAGGAUGUUGGCUUAGAAGCAGCCAUCAUUUAAAGAAAGCGUAAUAGCUCACUGGUCGAGUCGGCCUGCGCGGAAGAUGUAACGGGGCUAAACCAUGCACCGAAGCUGCGGCAGCGACACUGUGUGUUGUUGGGUAGGGGAGCGUUCUGUAAGCCUGUGAAGGUGUGCUGUGAGGCAUGCUGGAGGUAUCAGAAGUGCGAAUGCUGACAUAAGUAACGAUAAAGCGGGUGAAAAGCCCGCUCGCCGGAAGACCAAGGGUUCCUGUCCAACGUUAAUCGGGGCAGGGUGAGUCGACCCCUAAGGCGAGGCCGAAAGGCGUAGUCGAUGGGAAACAGGUUAAUAUUCCUGUACUUGGUGUUACUGCGAAGGGGGGACGGAGAAGGCUAUGUUGGCCGGGCGACGGUUGUCCCGGUUUAAGCGUGUAGGCUGGUUUUCCAGGCAAAUCCGGAAAAUCAAGGCUGAGGCGUGAUGACGAGGCACUACGGUGCUGAAGCAACAAAUGCCCUGCUUCCAGGAAAAGCCUCUAAGCAUCAGGUAACAUUAAAUCGUACCCCAAACCGACACAGGUGGUCAGGUAGAGAAUACCAAGGCGCUUGAGAGAACUCGGGUGAAGGAACUAGGCAAAAUGGUGCCGUAACUUCGGGAGAAGGCACGCUGAUAUGUAGGUGAAGCGACUUGCUCGUGGAGCUGAAAUCAGUCGAAGAUACCAGCUGGCUGCAACUGUUUAUUAAAAACACAGCACUGUGCAAACACGAAAGUGGACGUAUACGGUGUGACGCCUGCCCGGUGCCGGAAGGUUAAUUGAUGGGGUUAGCGGUAACGCGAAGCUCUUGAUCGAAGCCCCGGUAAACGGCGGCCGUAACUAUAACGGUCCUAAGGUAGCGAAAUUCCUUGUCGGGUAAGUUCCGACCUGCACGAAUGGCGUAAUGAUGGCCAGGCUGUCUCCACCCGAGACUCAGUGAAAUUGAACUCGCUGUGAAGAUGCAGUGUACCCGCGGCAAGACGGAAAGACCCCGUGAACCUUUACUAUAGCUUGACACUGAACAUUGAGCCUUGAUGUGUAGGAUAGGUGGGAGGCUUUGAAGUGUGGACGCCAGUCUGCAUGGAGCCGGCCUUGAAAUACCACCCUUUAAUGUUUGAUGUUCUAACGUUGGCCCCUGACCGGGGUUGCGGACAGUGUCUGGUGGGUAGUUUGACUGGGGCGGUCUCCUCCUAAAGAGUAACGGAGGAGCACGAAGGUUGGCUAAUCCUGGUCGGACAUCAGGAGGUUAGUGCAAUGGCAUAAGCCAGCUUGACUGCGAGCGUGACGGCGCGAGCAGGUGCGAAAGCAGGUCAUAGUGAUCCGGUGGUUCUGAAUGGAAGGGCCAUCGCUCAACGGAUAAAAGGUACUCCGGGGAUAACAGGCUGAUACCGCCCAAGAGUUCAUAUCGACGGCGGUGUUUGGCACCUCGAUGUCGGCUCAUCACAUCCUGGGGCUGAAGUAGGUCCCAAGGGUAUGGCUGUUCGCCAUUUAAAGUGGUACGCGAGCUGGGUUUAGAACGUCGUGAGACAGUUCGGUCCCUAUCUGCCGUGGGCGCUGGAGAACUGAGGGGGGCUGCUCCUAGUACGAGAGGACCGGAGUGGACGCAUCACUGGUGUUCGGGUUGUCAUGCCAAUGGCACUGCCCGGUAGCUAAAUGCGGAAGAGAUAAGUGCUGAAAGCAUCUAAGCACGAAACUUGCCCCGAGAUGAGUUCUCCCUGACUCCUUGAGAGUCCUGAAGGAACGUUGAAGACGACGACGUUGAUAGGCCGGGUGUGUAAGCGCAGCGAUGCGUUGAGCUAACCGGUACUAAUGAACCGUGAGGCUUAACCUU
rnacentral:rRNA from 1 species